rnacentral:lncRNA from 1 species
UUUUCAAUUAAAAUUUAGCAUAUUGAAAAGCUUUUAUGGUGGUUUUGUUCCAAUAGAAUAAGCUCGUUGAUUAAAAUGUCAGAUUGUACAAACUCGAAGAGGUAUACUCUAACCUCUUAGAAACUAAUGAUCCGAAGAGGCCUCUUUAGUUCGUAUUUUUAUGGUUAAAAAAAAAAGGAAGAAGAUAGGAUUUCUGAUUAUUCGGAUCUUAACCGAAUUAGAUGUAAUGGUCGUUGUAAUCUCAUAUAUCCGACCAUUCUCCACCAGAAUUCUGAUUUAUUCUCAAAGAGGCGAAGAAAUAGAUUCAUCAUUCCACUCCAAUCGAUUCAAGGAAGUGAGAACGAACUAAUGCCCCGUUCCGUUCAGGUAUCUCGAUUGAAAUCCCCCCAAAUGGCAUUUUCCGUAGAAAUAGUAUUCUUGCUUAUUUUGAUAAUACUCGAUACAGAAAAAAGAAUUCGGGCAUUACUAAAUAUGGGACUAUAGAAAUGCAUUCAAUCAUCUAAUAUGAAAUAUUCAAGUUCAAAAUUAUUCAUGUCGUGAGUUCGUCGGAACGUAUCUACUUGUUCACUGUUGCUUUCAUAGAUGUCAUUCAGAGAGACAAGCUAACAGAUACCUA